CAUUCCUUAAAGUUUUAAGUGGCCUGUUGGAUGCCCCCAUGUCCCUCAGUGACCUUGGGGGCUGGGGUCUCUUUGCGCUGCGGGAUGCACUCCGAAGCAGGGGAUCCCGUCAGGGCACCUUCCUUACUUGGAAGGCCUCUCUCUCCAGCGCAGCUGGAUGUCAGCUCUUUGCAGGCCUAAAGCAAAGCUGUGCUCGCCCCAAACGGUGGGGGUGAGUCGGACUCCUCUUUAUGGCAGGCGACCCUUGUCCACACCAGGAGCCGCGGCCUCCGUUCUUUCCCUGGUAGGAUGGGCGGGAGGCUGAAUGCAUCCCUGAGGCUCGUGUAUGUUGACAGCCUGCAGCCCUGGGGGUUAUACUUUCUAUGAAACUGUUAGCAGCACGAGCACAGUGAGUGUUGCACUUGGUGCUUACAAAGAGCCAUUUGGGAAAAAGGCGAUAAAAAGAAAUUUUCAGGAGAAAAGCAAGGAUGUUGGCAAACCAAGUGACACUGUGGGUCAGCUCAGGGAACGUGUUUUGUUUUUGCUUUUUUCAAAGUUCUUGAGCUUAGAUGUUGGGUCUUCUAAGCUCCUGUCCUUUUCAUUUGGCUGCAUUCCCCCCAAAGGUCAAAGAGAAUGAUUCCUCCCCAGCCAAUGUGGAGAGACUUUGGCUUAACGGGGGGAGGGAUGGGGAGGGGCGUGAUCCCACCCGGGGAACCCGAGUCUCUCUGGGGGGACUGUGGCAUGCCUUCAAUUCCUGUUUGAGGGCAAAGUUACACUUGGUCUUUGUAAGCAGCCCUAUGUCCUAGUCUAGCUCCAGCUUUCCUUGUGUGUCUUCUAGGAAACGAUUGGCAGAUAAUUUCACUUCUCUUGCUAAGGAGAGGUAUGUAUGAAGGUCUCCCGAAGAUCUCUCUUCCAAGUAGAGGCAGGUGUGGCCAGCGGCAUCAGCGAGGGGCCAGGACUACUUGCAGGGGUCUGGAUUCUGGGAGGAGGUGGCUGCUGGAAGCUGCUGGAGGCACCUCAGGGCUGCACGGUUCAGGCCGGCAGGCAGCAAAGACCUUUAGAGCCGUGUGAGCAGAACCUGGGAGGGGCUGCCGCUCAUCCACCUCCUGGUGGGGAGGAAGGCAUGGCCCUUGGCUGCCAGGCUCAGGGGUGGGAGGCAGGCUGCUGAUUCAUUGCCUCAUUCCCUCCUUCAUUCAGCUGGUGGUUACUGUGUGGGGCACAGUCUUCGGCACAGACUCCUGCCGAGUUCUUGCCACAGAGACUCUUGUUCCAGCAGAGGGGCGAAUGGUGUCAGGCUGUGAAUCAGCCAAGGUCCCAGGAAGAGUUUCUCUCUGUUGGGGAGCAGGACAGCCCCACAAAAUCCUCUCCGAGCUGAGCAGCUUUAUAUUGGUACCUCUCUCAGGAGGACCCAGAAUACCCGGUGCCACCGCCCACCAUCCUGAUCCGGGACAAGCCGCUGACCACUGAGCAUCUCACCUGGAAGCCCAGCUGAUGAUGAGGCUGCCAUGUGCCCUGCCCCUCCGUGGCUUCUUAGAAGCUGCCAUCUCCAGCAGAAAAUCUUCAAGUGGCACAGAAUCACACGUUCUCCGUGCGGGAAGGAAGUCUAGUUGAUAUUGAUUCCUCAUUUUGCAGAUGAGAAAGUGGCCUUAGGGAAGCGAAGUGUUAUUGCAGGUGAGCUUUUGGAGGCCCCGAGCUGUGUCCCAUGCCCAGCAGACCCGCAUAUUCAAGGCUGGCCACGCCAUCCCCACGGCAGCCGGUCCAUCCCAUAGCCAGCUGAUGUGCCCAAUGCUGGCACCUCAGAAUUCUCCAGAGGGAAGGAAGCAUCUGGAAGCACGUGGUCCAAGCAGCUUGGGGGUCUACCUGCCCAUGACCUCUGGAACUGGCCUGACUGGAAAUUUAGUCUUUUGGUUAAAGCCAAACUUUUUCUUGCUGCUGCUUGUGGCUUCCUGUCGCUCAGAGUAGACACACUGGUCUGUCUGUCCAGCCUCUGGUUGUGGGGACAGCAGGUCAGUGACGGACAGGAAAGCCUGUUGUGGUCUGAAAGCCAAGACCUGGAGAGCAGUCAGUUAAGGGAACAUCGUCAAGGUGAUGUAGAAGCUUUUUUGUCCCCGCAAGGCAGGCUCUGAUCCUACAGCCACUGGCCAUUUCUUCAUCUCCUACCAGGCAAUAUGUGGUUUUACUUCCUCACCUCAAGGGGAGGUGGGAUUCCCAGCUGGUUUUCAUGAUUCAUUGUUUCAGGGUUCCAGGCCCGCCUCGGCUUGAAGUCGUAAGCCCCGUGGCCACGCACGCCGAGAAGGCUGGAAUCCAUUUGGCUCUCCGACAUGGUCUCCCUGCCUUUGUGACAGGGGCUCUGGCCACAUUCACCUUCGUCUUAUCCUCCUGGAGUGGGGAUGAUCCAGGAGCACGAUUUAAAUUUGUUGUUUUUUUUGUGUGGAGGUGGCUCAGUCCAAUAGAAUUCUAAGUGGCAACAUCAAUACAAAGUGAAAAGCAACAUUGCAAGAGAAGACAAAGUAUCCUCAUUCUCAACAAGACCUGAGCUCCCCAGGGUGUUUGCUACAUAGCAGCUAAUUGGUGCCUGGAAUUCCUUCCACCAGGCAGGAUGGAUGGGAUACGCAGGUUCCAGGAAAGAGGCUGCUGAUGGUGGGUCAAGCACGGCUGCCGGAAGACCCGUCGGAAAUCAUUGCGCACCCAUUUGCUGCCCUGGGAUUUCUGCAAAUCGCUCACGUGCCGGCUCUGUGGGGCCCAGACAAUGACAAGCCUCAGUGUUCCUCCUUCCGCACGGAGAGGGAGAGUUUCACCUGGAACACCUUGACUCCCACGCGGGGCUCAGGACGUCAUUGGGCUGCAAAUUACUCCAAAUAAACAAGCUAGUACAGAAAAAGUAAUGGUCAGAAUGCUUGGUUUCCACUAAACGAUUAUGUUAUGGGAACAUUGUGCCUCUGGAAUACCAGAUUUGGCCUGAGUGAACUCUGUCCGGAUGAAUGUCCUUUCUGCCCCUCUUCUGCUGCCCCCUGCCUCCCCAGCUAGGCUGUCCUGGGGUCCCCAGGAGCCCAGGGUGGGGCUGGCCGGAGUCAGGUGCUGGACCCCUGCACGGACACGUCUAGGGACUCGGGCCAGCAUGAGGACACCCGGAAGGGUCUCAGCAGCUGUCCCGUGAAGCAGAAUGUUCCCAGGCAUAGCAUGUCCCUUUCAGGCCGUUUCUUUCUGGAAAACUCGGAAUGUGCCAGGAGUAAGAGAGGCAUCCCUGAGGAUCUCUGGACCCGAUGGAAGUAUUCCCGAGCACGUUUCCCUCUGCUGAGCAUUAGGAGUAGGGGAGAGGGAAACCCAGCACCACCUCGGGUGCCCCAACAGAAUGUGCUUCCAGAAUCAGGGCAUCAGGCCGGGUGCGGGGCCCACUGGCUUCCUUCCUGUUGACUGUUCCUGUGUCCCCAGACCACGCCCCUGCGCAGCCUCUGCCUUGCUGGUCUGGGUGUGGCUUCCCUCCUGCUCCCAGUUCUGCAGAAGCCACCAACCGUCUAGGAAGUACAGAAGUUCCCUUCCAGAAAGACAUCCUUUAAAGUCUGAAUUCCUGAAGACAAUCACACCGUCCGUCUGGCAGGAGGAGUAUGCCCAUUAUGGGCUGCUAAAUAUUGAAUUUUGAACCAAUGAUGUAUUAUAUGGUGACUAACAUAACAUAA